AUUGAACGCUGGCGGCAGGCCUAACACAUGCAAGUCGAGCGGGGCGGCCGACGGGCGAGUAAUGCCUAGGAAUCUGUCUGGUAGUGGGAGAUAACGUCCGACUACGGGCGCUAACACCGAAUACUAUCAAAUGAGCCAAGCUCGGAUUAGCUAGUUGGUGGGGUAAAGGCCUACCAAGGCGACGAACCGUACCUGGCCUGAGAGGAUGAUCAGUCAGACUGGAACUGAGACACGGUCCAGACUCCUACGGGAGGCAGCAGUGGGGAAUAUUGGACAAUGGGCGAAAGCCUGAUCCAGCCAUGCCGCGUGUGUGAAGAAGGUCUUAGGGUUGUAAAGCACUUUAAGUCGGGAGGCGUUACCAACAGAAGAAGCACCGGCUAACUUCGUGCCAGCCGCCGCGGUAAUUC
rnacentral:rRNA from 1 species